GCAGCGGGGCUUUGACCGCUAUCGGAAAGGCCAGGGGAUCAACUCAUCAACGGUUUUGUUUUCCCUUAUCCGUUUGAGUGA
rnacentral:sRNA from 1 species